rnacentral:rRNA from 1 species
AUUGAACGCUGGCGGCAUGCCUUACACAUGCAAGUCGAGCGGCAGCGCGGGGGCAACCCUGGCGGCGAGCGGCGAACGGGUGAGUAAUACAUCGGAACGUGUCCAGUAGCGGGGGAUAACCUGUCGAAAGAUAGGCUAAUACCGCAUACGACCUACGGGAGAAAGCGGGGGACUCUUGGGCAACUGAGGGCCUCGCACUGUUGGAGCGGCCGAUGUCGGAUUAGCAGUUGGCGGGGUAAAAGCCCACCAAGGCGACGAUCCGUAGCUGGUCUGAGAGGACGACCAGCCACACUGGAACUGAGACACGGUCCAGACUCCUACGGGAGGCAGCAGUGGGGAAUUUUGGACAAUGGGCGCAAGCCUGAUCCAGCCAUGCCGCGUGAGUGAAGAAGGCC